UUCUUUGUACAAUGGAAAGUGCACAGAUCAGCCCUGUGCUAGAAAUGUGCUGCAGCUUGGGGGAGCUCCAUGCCUUACAGGGAAAGGCGCAACGUCCCAGAAGCCAUCAUCUGCGCAAUCACAUUUUAAUAUCAGCAGACUGGACUCUCCCAGACACGGCUAAGAGAGCCCUCUAGGUGUAGAUUUAUGCAACCUACUUCCAUCUAUUCUACCACGAUCAAUCAAAUAAGCUGGAAAGAAUAAAACCUGGUGCUGUAUCGUGAUAAACCAGCUAAACACUUACAAA